CUGCCCCCGCCGCCCCGCGCCCGUGACUCACCUCAGCGCUGGGGCAGGCUGGUCCGGGCGGGCAAGCCUCAGGGCUCUCCCACACGUCGUGCCGCCGCUGCCAAUGGCAAAGUUGGAGGGCUAGAUGCAAACACCAGGUCAAGACCACCAUCCCCAGAUUGCAAAGAUGCUCUGAAACUGCAGUGCCUGGACUGAAGUGAGGAGUUUGGCCUGGAGCUCAGCAGGGGCCUGAGAGGUUCCAGGACCUUCCCAUCCAGAGAUCACCUCGUGGGGGCUAAACGCUCCUACCCACCUUCUCGCCAAGCACAGGACGCCUCUGCAGCGCCACCUACAGGCAGAAUGCGCAUGGCGCAGCGACUCUGUCAGCCUCGGCGGCCGGAACUGGUGUCACAUAGAGAACAGGAGAGAUCUGCUCCUCUGCCCCCAACCCUCCAACUUCCUUGGAUGACACAUGGUCUUCCUUAGCCGCCCCUGCCCUAAAGUGUCCCUGUUAGACUGGCUCCAAAUUCAAGCCCUGCCUGACUCAGGCAGCCGGUGAUCUAACGUUUCCACUCCUGCUGCUGCACUCUAAGCGGCCUCCUGCCCCAGGGCGCCUCUUCCUGGGAAGCAGUCAAGUCACGCUGGGCCCCGGAUCUGCUGACGAGAAUCCUCCGCCCUGCCGGCACACCCCUUGAAAUUUGUCUCAAUUCCUUCUUUCUUCCUCCCGCCCCUCCAUCUCCUUCAUUUCAUCCCUGUCUCUGAGGCUAGCAGGAGCGGCUGGGCUCCAGGGAAAAGCAGCUGGGAAAAAAAGAGUCCACGUGGAGACCUCCUGCACACUGUGUCAGCCCC